rnacentral:rRNA from 1 species
CACCUCUAGCAUUUCAAGUAUUAGAGGCAUUGCCUGCCCAGUGACUUAAGUUAAACGGCCGCGGUAUCCUGACCGUGCAAAGGUAGCAUAAUCACUUGUUCCUUAAUUAGGGACUCGUAUGAACGGCUGAACGAGGGUCCAACUGUCUCUUACUUCCAAUCAGUGAAAUUGACCUUCCAGUGAAGAGGCUGGAAUAAUUAAAUAAGACGAGAAGACCCUAUGGAGCUUAAAUUAAUAAACUUAAUUAAAAUCUCACUACACCUAAUGGCACAAAAAUAAUACUUUAAAUUUAAAAUUUUGGUUGGGGUGACCUCGGAGAAUAAAAUAUCCUCCGAAAGAUAAUAACUUAGACCAACAAGUCAAUGUAACUCUAGUUCCAAUUGACCCAAAAAUAUUUGACCAACGGACCAAGUUACCCUAGGGAUAACAGCGCAAUCCUAUUUAAGAGUCCAUAUCGACAAUAGGGUUUACGACCUCGAUGUUGGAUCAGGACAUCCCAAUGGUGCAGAAACUAUUAAUGGUUCGUUUGUUCAACGAUUAAAGU